GCUGACCCAGAGUCCAGCAUGGAAAGACAUUUUCCCUCCCUAAAUGCUUCUCCACUUCCCUGCUGAGGGUGACCUGGCUGGAAUGUUGAGCUGCAGAGCCCAGGUAGGGUUGGGUCUGACCCCUGUGACUGCGGGAGCAGUGCCAGUCUGGGUGCCCACACCCUGCAGGCCUCAAACAGGGGAGGGAAACUGAGCAGAACCUUCCUGAGCUGCAGCUUUCCUGCCCCAUGUCCUGCUGGGCCCCGACUGCAACUGUGCCCUGGAAAUGCAAAAGUGAACGUGUAUUUUUGAAGGGGAGAAGAGAAAAUGUCUUCUCUGUUUCUUGGUUACCACUGUGGAUUUUUAAUCUGUAAUAACUGUGUUUUGUGUGCGUUGCUUUCAGGAAAAUACAUUUGUUGCCAUGGCAACGGGAGUAGCUUUUCCCCCAGAUCCCAGUGCUCGGAUAGUCGAGGGCAACAGUGGAAUCCCAGAGCUUGCAGGAGCAGCAGGAUUGCCUGGAGCUCCCUUGGACUGGGGGUUUGGGUGUGGGGGUGACACUGGGGGGCUCAGCUCUGUGUGUGUGAGCACUAACAACCCUCCUGUGCUUCCAGUGCUGGGCAGACAUGGACCUGCAACGUGGAGCUGGAACAGCUGGAGAUGAACAGUCACACACCAUCUGCUCACUGACAGGCAACGAGAGGUUUGCUGUUCUCUCCAUGGGGAAAAAACUCUCCAGCCAGUGGUGGAUGAAGUGAUGGAUGGUGGCCUCAGCCACCCGAGAGCUCUGCCAGCCGUGGGCUGUGGGGUUGGUGGUUGCUGAGGUAAAAGCAGCAGGACUUUCCCAACGCCAGGAGUUCCAGGUCAGAGCUGUCAGGAGGAGGAGCCCACUGCGGGAUUUUCAUGGAUGGUGUCUCCAGGGCUGUCACAGCAGGCAGAGGUGGCUCAGGCUGAGCCUCAAGCCCAGAUGGUCACGGGCAAAUGUUGGCUGAGCACUGGCAGAGUGGAGCCCUCCUGGGAAUGGCAGCUGGGGGAGGCAGGAAUGGGAGCUGUGUCUCAGCCUGAGGCACAAUCCCCUGGCUGGGAUGGACCCAGGGAAACCAGCUCCAACAGCACCUGACUGCGAGCCUCGGACUGCCCGUGGGAGCUGCAAUCCAGAGGGAAAGGGGAGCAGGAUGCUUUGUCACAAGCCUUGGAAGGAUGAACCUGGACCAGGAGCUUUGGAUGGUUUGGGAAGGAAAAAAAGAACAACGUAAGAAUAUUCCUGACAGAAACUGGCUCAAGAGGUCCUUGUCAGGGCUUUGGCCACCCCCAAACCCCACAGGACUGCUCGUGGGUUCCCUUGGCAACAGCGAAGCCAACACGGGGAUAACAGCCUGGGAACACAAAGGCAGCACUGACACCCUUCCCCUCAGCAGCCAAGGACGAGAGCUGGUGACAGUGACCUUGGGACAGGCCGGCUCGAUGGGAAGGUGUCCCCAGCCAACCUUUCAAGGCCCAGGCACAGGCUGGAUCCCAGAUCCUACAACACCUCAGAGCAAGGGCUCUUCGUCAUCUUUAAUCCACGAGGCACAUCAGCACUUUGGUUUGUGAUUUCCCAGUGGGAAUGAAAGCUGGACACACAUGGGAAGCACACCUAUGACUUUACUACGGCUGCUGCCACGGGACAGAAACAGGGAGCUGGUGGAUAAGAGCCUGGAUUUUAAAUCAUGGAAUCACAGACUGGCUUGGGCUGGAAGGAGCUUAAAGCUCAUCUCAUCCCACCCACUGCCAUGGGCAGGGACACCUUCCACUGGCCCAGGUUGCUCCAACCCCCAUCCAACCUGGAUUCUAUGAGGAUUGGCCAUCAUUCCCUGCCCUUUGGCAGGGGGUUGUAACUGGUUGAGCUUUAAGGUCCCUUCCAGCCCAGACCUUCUGGGAUUCCAUGGUUUUAAUUCCACCUCUGAAGAUGUGCCCCUCUCGGAGAGACUCUUCUGUUACUUUUCUCCUCUUGGAAGGUAAACAGCAUUUCAUCACCCGAUUAAUAAACCCACGGACAAACCAACGUUAUUGCAACAAAAAUAAAUAAAAAUUUAACUGAA